rnacentral:rRNA from 1 species
UAAUACAGAGGGUGCAAGCGUUAAUCGGAAUUAUUGGGCGUAAAGCGUGCGUAGGCGUUUUGUUAAGUCAGAUGUGAAAGCCCAGGGCUCAACCUUGGAACUGCAUUUGAUACUGGAUACCUUGAGUACAGUAGAGGGAGGUGGAAUUUCAGGUGUAGCGGUGAAAUGCGUAGAUAUCUGAAGGAACAUCAGUGGCGAAGGCGGCCUCCUGGACUGAUACUGACGCUGAGGUGCGAAAGCGUGGGGGGCAAACAGGAUUAGAUACCCUGGUAGUCCACGCUGUAAACGAUGUCAACUAGCCGUUGGGACUCUUGAAGUCUUAGUGGCGCAGCUAACGCACUAAGUUGACCGCCUGGGGAGUACGGUCGCAAGAUUG